rnacentral:rRNA from 1 species
CACGUAGGGGCCAAGCGUUGUCCGGAUUUAUUGGGCGUAAAGAGCUCGUAGGCGGUUCGACAAGUCGGGUGUGAAAACUCCGGGCUCAACCCGGAGACGCCACCCGAUACUGUCGUGACUGGAGUCCGGUAGGGGAGUGGGGAAUUCCUGGUGUAGCGGUGAAAAGCGCAGAUAUCAGGAGGAACACCGGUGGCGAAGGCGCCACUCUGGGCCGGUACUGACGCUGAGGAGCGAAAGCGUGGGUAGCAAACAGG